GUCCGAUAUUCCACCUACUCCUUAAUUAAUUUCAUAAUUUAUAUUCUUCUUCUUACAUAUACAUAUAUAUAUAUGUUUUAUUUUAUAUAUAUUUGCUGCUGUUUAGUAUGAAAUAAAGGGUUUCCUCUUUGCAAUAUAAGAUGUUAGAUAAUCCCUUGAAUUCAUAUAUAUUUGAUUAAGAGGAAUUAAAUCUCUUAAAUAAAAUCUAAUCUUUGAUUGUGCAGCUGGAUCAUGGGGGAUAUGGUUAAUGCAAUAGAUACCUUCCUCUAUAAUUUCAAUUACUAUUACUCAUGUUGGUAAUUUGUGAGCAUUUCAAUUAUAAUUACUUGUGUUGGUAAUUUAUGAUUUUUAAUUUUAUAAAUAGUGAGAAAACUACAUCAUGGUAGGGAGAUUUUAGUUUAAUUUCUUAGUUAGUGCAAAAUUAUGUAAGUAUUAAGAUUGAAUCAUGUUAAAUAUUAUAUGUUUAGGUAAAUUUUACAACUAUAGGUUUAAAAAUAUUAUACCUACUACCCUUGUGUUUUCAAAAUGUUAUCAACCUCUCUUGAGAUUAAAUCCCAUUCAACACAUACUUUCUUUUCAUUAAAUAACAACAAUUAAUUUUAUUAAAAUUCCUAAAAUGCCUUCCCCAUUCUCAUUCUUCUAAAAUUAAAAUAAAUUACUAUUUGAACCUACUAGUGGGUUUACUGAUGAAAAUGCGUUGGAUGAGAAAGAGAAAGAGAGACAGAGAUGGAAAGAUGAGUAGUUAGUUUCGAAGAACCUAGAUUCACUUGACAAUGAAAAACACAAACCUUUUAAAUACAGAUUUCUAUGUUUGAACAAAUUAACCAACCUUUAAUCCUAAAUGAAAGAAUCGAGGGAGAGAAAAAAAAAAAAAAAAAAAAGUUACCAAUUGGUUGCAUCUUCUUCAUCCUCUCUGACAAGCUAUUUCUGGUGGAUGCAAAGAAUCAACGGAUUGAGUUUCUAGUGGGGGUUUUAGAGAAAAACCUUACCAUAAAUCAAAUUGAACUCUAAUUUAGGUUUAUCUAAUCCUAGUCAAAACCCCAUUACAUGAUAGGGUUUUAAAUGGAGAGAAAGAGACACUAGGGAGUUAGUGGUUAACUAGUUCCAUGGGUUACAAUGCAAAACGCUGUAGGAAAAAGAAACAAGAUGGAUCUUGAAAAUGUGUGAAAAGAGACAAAGAAAGAGAUGCGAUAUCGGAACUAGAGGGGAAACAUGGAAAGUUGUUUAUAUCCAAGGGUAAAAAAGUUAUUUUGGAUGUAGUAGUUGAAAUGGAGGUGGAUGUCUUUUUUAAAAAUAUAAGAAUAGUUGGUGCAAUUUAAACAAUCUUAAAGUAUAUUAUAUAAAAUUUACCCUAUAUAUAUAUAUAUAUGUUUUC